GGCAAUGACUGUGGUAGAGUGGCGAUAAAUCCCAUUUUAUUGCUGAAAAAUUCCAGCUUCUCUCCAUGCCUGACAGCUCCCCACAUUCUCAUACCCAUUUGGGCAAUUUCUGCGCUAUGUCCAUCUGGUUCUCAUUACCUCUCAACCUGCCUGCGUCUGAUCCAGAAAAAGUGCAGGUCACAAACAGGGGAAAAGAACCGAGGUGAUGGACAAAACAGAAAGCAGGGGGGUGGCCCCUGGGGGUCAGGGUAGAGGUGAGGGAGCAACAGGGAAGUGGGGAUCCCAGCUUAGGCUUGGACUGGUCGUUGGAAGGGGCUAUUUAGAUAUAUUACAGAAUGAUAAUGACAGAGCCAGAGCCAGGAAGACAGAGGAAUCUGUGUCUCUAGACUCAGGCCUUUAACAGGCACCUGCUUUAAGGUGGAGAAGAGAGAGAGAGAACGUGGUAGGUAUGGGUGAAUGGGAAAAUUAAGAGAGGCAGAGAGGGGACACAGCCCAGCCUAGACUGUAUAUUAAGGGUGCUGUGUCACAGAGCAGAAGGCUUGCUCUAGAAGUGCAUAAAAGUUAAACAUCAAGCAUCAUCAAGCUUGGAGCCCCAUGUACAUAGUUAUCAUGUUUCUAAAUAUGGGGAUGAAACUCUGCUGGAGAUUCCAUUUUGGUUCACAAAUUUAAUUUUUUUAAAGAAAACUCUAGGAAUCCAACAGCAGCCUCAUUCAUUUUUUCUGAUUCAUUAUUAAAUUAAUAAUAAAGAAAAUUAUUAUUUAAAAAGCACUUGUCCCAAUCAGUGCAUUUAAGACGGGUUUAUUCAUGGAGUGACAGGACUAACACCGAGUCCCCUGGGCUUUCGUAACCCUACAGACGGUCACUUUGGGAAUUGCUGGGCAUUCCUGCUUUCAGAAAGUUGGCCUCUUUUUCUGAAGCUGAAAUCUUUUUGAUCAUGAUUGCUUCUGACCUAAAGUUACUCAUAGUCACCAUAAGAUUCCUCUCGGGGACAAAAAAAGAAAUAAAUACAGGAAACAUUUGAUAACAAAUAUUAACAAUAAGCACACUUAAAUAGUAACCUAAACUAGACUAGGAUGAAAUUGUAUAACUCUACAUGUGUGAAUAUAAAAAAUAUUUAUUAUUGUUGUGAUGGGGUUUUUAUAGUUAAUAUUAAAGUAAAAUUAUGGAAAAUACAUCAAAGCAUAAAUGAUGCAGAUCUAAGAACUUUUAAUAAAAAAAAUUAGAAUCAGAUGCUGCAUGAGUAGAUGGAUAGUAGUUAUUUCAUUACUUCUUCUGAGGCAAAUUUUGCAUGCAAAUGUCUUAAAACCAGAUAGACUGUGUAUUCUUAAACAUAUUGGAAAGCCGUGGCAUUGCUAUGAUUUGCAGACAGAAUUGCAUAUGCUAGAUAUGUUUGACAAUAUGUCUUAGCACCUUCUGGAUCCCACGGGGGCAGAGUGCAUUCCAGGUACUCAGAAUCCACUUUUUUGACAGUCAGAUCCCUAAGUGCUGUCACAAAUAUCUGUUUUAUUGGUUGAAUUCUAAUAUCAAAAUUACAUUAAAUUUUAGUUGCUGAGCUAGAUGUCACCAACAAGAAAUACUGGCUUCCAAAAUUGAGAUUUAGUUUCUAAAGUUUCAAGGUACGUUCACUCAGAAGAAAUUCUGUACCUAAAGUUUUAAGUGAACUCCACACAGGGACAUUUAAAUGGAGAGAGAUUGUUUAGAAAUUUUGAAAUUAAAAUAGGCAAUUUGGACUGAAGUGCAUUAUAGAUGAUCCAAUUGUUAUUGGCCACUUUAAAAUGAAUACUUUCGGUCAAUAAGUACAACUAUAAAACUUUCACAUGUAUAUACAAAAGGCAUAAACCUUUCGAUAAUAUCACAUAUCCCUUAAAAUGGCCAUAAUAUAUGGCAUCUCUAAUUCAGAAAGUAAUUUCGGAUUCUUAGCCAAAAAAGAAUCUUGCAUGAACUUUACUUUUCUGGGCUGUGCAUAUAUCAGACAGAGUGAUCAUUGAAACUCUGAAGGAUAUUCAUUUCUUUAGUAGGACAGCAGAAAAUUAAUAGCAUAAGGGAGGGUGAAGUGACAAGUGAACUUGAUGCUUGAUAGCUGUUUACUUAUGAAUGUGUGCCCAGAUUUCAGUGUUCUGUAAAAGAAAGGGGAAAUAGAGAAAAGUAUUCCUAUGGCUUUUAGGGAACUUCAUACACAUGGAAGAGCAUACUUAGACCAAUGAAAUAUUUACUAAACAAAUCAUUUACAUUUAACUUUUGUGUAUGCAAAACUUGGAGAGUCUACAAAAAGACAGAACCAACGUUAGCUGUUAAGAAAUAUUUCGGCAUCAAAAUGGUUAAUAGUAUUAAAGCUUCAAAAGAGCCUAUUGGCUCACCCUCAAGGAUGCCCUGCAGUUGUUGUUAAAGUCAUCAGAUGAAGCUAGCCUUCUCUGCUAGCCUUUAGAUUUGUCUGCUAACAGUAAAAAUCCUAUAAUAAAUCGGUAACAUAUGUUGCCAGGGAAGGAAAAGUGAUAUAAAUAAAGAGACUAGGAGACCCAAACCAAGUACAAUGUGAAAAUUAUUUAACUUUCAAUCUAUUCGUUGGUUAAUUAUCAUUUGAAAAGUAAUUUGAAAUGUGUUACUAUUAUUUGCUUAUAUUCUUCCUCAUUUUUCUUUUUUUCUCUUCAGAUCGCAUUUGUACCCAAAUAUUCUUCGUGAUUGCCUGCUUUGCGGCUUUGGGAUUCUUCAGGGAGUGGAGAACAUUCACAUGGAUUGCCAUCCUACUUUUCCAUCAUCAUGUUCUGAAGUGGUCUACAUCAAACAAAAGAAAAUGACAUCCCCUUUCAACUAGCGAAUGUUAAGAUUCUCUCGUAACCGAUUGGGGGCUUGCUGGAAGUUUUACAAUUAGAGUCACACAUAUUGAAUUAUUUUCAUUCUUCCCAAACAUCAUUCUUUGAACUUUAUAAAUAUAACAAUACUGGGUUUAAAGUUUCAUGUGGCUUAUUUACAAAUAAAGGUAUCUUGAUAAAAACCAAACUCUGUGUACUUUUGAAA